CGCCCACGGCCAGCUGUGCGCGCACUUUCCGGGUCUUGACCUCACAGUGACGGUCGAUCUGAACCCCGGCCGGCAGGCAGCCGACACCAGACUUCCAGCUGUGAUCUGUUGGACUUAGUGUUUGACUUAACUAUUUACAAAACCGAGUCAAAAGAUGUGCUAUGGAUUCUUUGGUAUUUGCAAAUGAAUUCCCAAGACAUUUCUGCUAAUGGAAGCGGAACCCAGCAGUCCUGUAGUUGAUAUGAUGUCUACUUUAGAGCAAGAUGUAUUUGCAUAGGUACUUUCUUGUUGAAAUUAUUUACCACAAAUAUUUGGAAUUCUCCCUUAAUAACCUACAGGGAUGGCUUUCUUCCUGAGUCAUGUAGCUCGAGGUCAAUCUCAUGAGGGAGGGAAAUUCUGGAGAAUGGUCCUGACCAAAGUACAUCUUUUGGUCAGUAUUUAGUAUCUAAUAAAGCUUGCUUUAAAUUUAGCC